rnacentral:rRNA from 1 species
AUGAACGCUAGCUACAGGCUUAACACAUGCAAGUCGAGGGGCAGCAUGAACUUAGCUUGCUAAGUUUGAUGGCGACCGGCGCACGGGUGAGUAACACGUAUCCAACCUGCCGAUGACUCGGGGAUAGCCUUUCGAAAGAAAGAUUAAUACCCGAUGGCAUAGUUCUUCCGCAUGGUAGAACUAUUAAAGAAUUUCGGUCAUCGAUGGGGAUGCGUUCCAUUAGGUUGUUGGCGGGGUAACGGCCCACCAAGCCUUCGAUGGAUAGGGGUUCUGAGAGGAAGGUCCCCCACAUUGGAACUGAGACACGGUCCAAACUCCUACGGGAGGCAGCAGUGAGGAAUAUUGGUCAAUGGACGAGAGUCUGAACCAGCCAAGUAGCGUGAAGGAUGACUGCCCUAUGGGUUGUAAACUUCUUUUAUACGGGAAUAAAGUGAGGCACGUGUGCCUUUUUGUAUGUACCGUAUGAAUAAGGAUCGGCUAACUCCGUGCCAGCAGCCGCGGUAAUACGGAGGAUCCGAGCGUUAUCCGGAUUUAUUGGGUUUAAAGGGAGCGUAGGCGGACGCUUAAGUCAGUUGUGAAAGUUUGCGGCUCAACCGUAAAAUUGCAGUUGAUACUGGGUGUCUUGAGUACAGUAGAGGCAGGCGGAAUUCGUGGUGUAGCGGUGAAAUGCUUAGAUAUCACGAAGAACUCCGAUUGCGAAGGCAGCUUGCUGGACUGUAACUGACGCUGAUGCUCGAAAGUGUGGGUAUCAAACAGGAUUAGAUACCCUGGUAGUCCACACAGUAAACGAUGAAUACUCGCUGUUUGCGAUAUACAGUAAGCGGCCAAGCGAAAGCGUUAAGUAUUCCACCUGGGGAGUACGCCGGCAACGGUGAAACUCAAAGGAAUUGACGGGGGCCCGCACAAGCGGAGGAACAUGUGGUUUAAUUCGAUGAUACGCGAGGAACCUUACCCGGGCUUGAAUUGCAACUGAAUGAAGUGGAGACAUGUCAGCCGCAAGGCAGUUGUGAAGGUGCUGCAUGGUUGUCGUCAGCUCGUGUCGUGAGAUGUUGGGUUAAGUCCCGCAACGAGCGCAACCCUUACUGUCAGUUACCAUCAUUAAGUUGGGGACUCUGGCAGGACUGCCGGUGACAAAUCGGAGGAAGGUGGGGACGACGUCAAAUCAUCAUGCCCUUUAUGUCCUGGGCUACACACGUACUACAAUGGCUAUAACAAAGAGAAGCGAAGCAGUGAUGUGGAGCAAAACUCAAAAAAGUAGUCUCAGUUCGGAUUGUAGGCUGAAAUUCGCCUACAUGAAGCCGGAAUUGCUAGUAAUGGCAGGUCAGCAUACUGCCGUGAAUACGUUCCCGGGCCUUGUACACACCGCCCGUCACACCAUGAGAGUUGGGAAUACCCGAAGCCUGUGAGCUAACUGAAAAGAGGCAGCAGUCGAAGGUAGAAUCAAUGAUUGGGGUG